rnacentral:rRNA from 1 species
UACGGAGGGUGCAAGCGUUAUCCGGAUUCACUGGGUUUAAAGGGUGCGUAGGCGGACAGGUAAGUCAGUGGUGAAAUCUCCGAGCUUAACUCGGAAACUGCCUUUGAUACUCUCUGUCUUGAAUAUGGUGGAGGUAAGCGGAAUAUGUCAUGUAGCGGUGAAAUGCUUAGAGAUGACAUAGAACACCUAUUGCGAAGGCAGCUUACUACGCCUAUAUUGACGCUGAGGCACGAAAGCGUGGGGAUCAACAGG